UGGGGAAUAUUGCACAAUGGGCGCAAGCCUGAUGCAGCCAUGCCGCGUGUAUGAAGAAGGCCUUCGGGUUGUAAAGUACUUUCAGUCGGGAGGAAGGUGGUAAGGUUAAUAACCUUAUCAAUUGACGUUACCGACAGAAGAAGCACCGGCUAACUCCGUGCCAGCAGCCGCGGUAAUACGGAGGGUGCAAGCGUUAAUCGGAAUUACUGGGCGUAAAGCGCACGCAGGCGGUUGAUUGAGUCAGAUGUGAAAUCCCCGGGCUUAACCCGGGAAUUGCAUCUGAUACUGGUAAGCUAGAGUCUUGUAGAGGGGGGUAGAAUUCCAUGUGUAGCGGUGAAAUGCGUAGAGAUGUGGAGGAAUACCGGUGGCGAAGGCGGCCCCCUGGGCAAAGAAUGACGCUCAGGUGCGAAAGCGUGGGGAGCAAACAGG
rnacentral:rRNA from 1 species